rnacentral:rRNA from 1 species
GGUGAACGCUGGCGGCGUGCCUAAGACAUGCAAGUCGAGCGGGCCGCGGGGUUUUACUCCGUGGUCAGCGGCGGACGGGUGAGUAACGCGUGGGUGACCUACCCGGAAGAGGGGGACAACCCGGGGAAACUCGGGCUAAUCCCCCAUGUGGACCCGCCCCUUGGGGUGUGUCCAAAGGGCUUUGCCCGCUUCCGGAUGGGCCCGCGUCCCAUCAGCUAGUUGGUGGGGUAAUGGCCCACCAAGGCGACGACGGGUAGCCGGCCUGAGAGGUGGCCGGCCACAGGGGCACCGAGACACGGGCCCCACUCCUACGGGAGGCAGCAGUUAGGAAUCUUCCGCAAUGGGCGCAAGCCUGACGGAGCGACGCCGCUUGGAGGAAGAAGCCCUUCGGGGUGUAAACUCCUGAACCCGGGACGAAACCCCCGACGAGGGGACUGACGGUACCGGGGUAAUAGCGCCGGCCAACUCCGUG